CGCGGUGAAUACGUUCCGGGCCUUGUACACACCGCCCGUCAAGCCAUGGAAGCUGGGGGUACCUGAAGUAUGUAACCGCAAGGAGCGUCCUAGGGUAAAACCGGUAACUGGGCU
rnacentral:rRNA from 1 species